rnacentral:rRNA from 1 species
UACGGGGGGGGCAAGCGUUGUUCGGAAUUACUGGGCGUAAAGGGUGCGUAGGCGGCGCAGAAAGUUGGGUGUGAAAUCCCUCGGCUUAACCGAGGAAUUGCGCCCAAAACUACUGUGCUCGAGGGAGGUAGAGGUGAGCGGAACUUAGGGUGGAGCGGUGAAAUGCGUUGAUAUCCUAAGGAACACCGGUGGCGAAAGCGGCUCACUGGACCUCUUCUGACGCUGAGGCACGAAAGCUAGGGUAGCAAACGGG